GAUGAACGCUAGCGGCAGGCCUAAUACAUGCAAGUCGAGCGGUAGAGUGACUUCGGUUGCUUGAGAGCGGCGCACGGGUGAGUAACGCGUACACAACUUACCUUCAACUGUGGAAUAGCCCUGGGAAACUGGGAGUAAUACCGCAUGUGAUCUAAGGGCAGCAUUGUUCUAAGAUUAAAGCUGAGGCGGUUGGAGAUGGGUGUGCGUCUGAUUAGCUAGUUGGUAGGGUAACGGCCUACCAAGGCUACGAUCAGUAGGGGGCGUGAGAGCGUGGACCCCCACACGGGUACUGAGACACGGACCCGACUCCUACGGGAGGCAGCAGUAAGGAAUAUUGGGCAAUGGACGGAAGUCCGACCCAGCCAUGCCGCGUGCAGGAAGAAGGCCCUAUGGGUUGUAAACUGCUUUUCUGAGGGAAGAAAAAUAUGUAUUUAUAGGUAUCUGACGGUACCUCAGGAAUAAGCACCGGCUAACUCCGUGCCAGCAGCCGCAGUAAUAC
rnacentral:rRNA from 1 species